rnacentral:rRNA from 1 species
CCUACGGGGGGCAGCAGUGAGGAAUAUUGGUCAAUGGUCGGGAGACUGAACCAGCCAAGCCGCGUGAGGGAUGAAGGUACAGAGUAUCGUAAACCUCUUUUGUCAGGGAACAAAGGCGGGGACGCGUCCCCGGUUGAGUGUACCUGAAGAAAAAGCAUCGGCUAACUCCGUGCCAGCAGCCGCGGUAAUACGGAGGAUGCGAGCGUUAUCCGGAUUUAUUGGGUUUAAAGGGGCGGCAGGCGGUCUGUCAAGUCAGCGGGCAACGCCCGGGGCUCAACCCCGGCCCUCCGUUGAAACUGGCAGUCUCGAGUUGGAGAGAAGUAGGCGGAAUGCGCGGUGUAGCGGUGAAAUGCAUAGAUAUCGCGCAGAACUCCGAUUGCGAAGGCAGCAUGCCGGCUCCACACUGACGCUGAGGCACGAAAGCGUGGGUAUCGAACAGGAUUAGAUACCCCAGUAGUC